CCCGGCCCAGACUCCUACGGGAGGCACCAGUGGGGAAUUUUGCCCAAUGGGCGAAACCCUGAUGCAAGGACCCCGCGUGAGGGAUGACGGCCUUCGGGUUGUAAACCUCUUUCAGCACGGAAGAAGCGAAAGUGACGGUACGUGCAGAAGAAGCGCCGGCUAACUACGUGCCAGCAGCCGCGGUAAUACGUAGGGCGCAAGCGUUGUCCGGAAUUAUUGGGCGUAAAGAGCUCGUAGGCGGUUUGUCGCGUCUGCUGUGAAAGCCCGGGGCUUAACCCCGGGUGUGCAGUGGGUACGGGCAGACUUGAGUGCAGUAGGGGAGACUGGAAUUCCUGGUGUAGCGGUGAAAUGCGCAGAUAUCAGGAGGAACACCGAUGGCGAAGGCAGGUCUCUGGGCUGUUACUGACGCUGAGGAGCGAAAGCAUGGGGAGCGAACAGGAUUAGAUACCCUGGUAGUCCAUGCCGUAAACGUUGGGCACUAGGUGUGGGGAACAUUCCACGUUUUCCGCGCCGUAGCUAACGCAUUAAGUGCCCCGCCUGGGGAGUACGGCCGCAAGGCUAAAACUCAAAGGAAUUGACGGGGGCCCGCACAAGCGGCGGAGCAUGCGGAUUAAUUCGAUGCAACGCGAAGAACCUUACCAAGGCUUGACAUACACCGGACCGGGCCAGAGAUGGUCUUUCCCCCUUGUGGGGCUGGUGUACAGGUGGUGCAUGGUUGUCGUCAGCUCGUGUCGUGAGAUGUUGGGUUAAGUCCCGCAACGAGCGCAACCCUCGUUCUAUGUUGCCAGCACGUGAUGGUGGGGACUCAUAGGAGACUGCCGGGGUCAACUCGGAGGAAGGUGGGGAUGACGUCAAAUCAUCAUGCCCCUUAUGUCUUGGGCUUCACGCAUGCUACAAUGGCCAGUACAAUGGGUUGCGAUGCCGCGAGGUGGAGCUAAUCCCAAAAAGCUGGUCUCAGUUCGGAU
rnacentral:rRNA from 1 species